GCAUAUCAAUAAGCGGAGGAAAAGAAACCAACAGGGAUUGCCUCAGUAACGGCGAGUGAAGCGGCAAAAGCUCAAAUUUGAAAUCCUUCGGGAGUUGUAAUUUGUAGGUUGGGAGACCCCGCGGCUAGUGGCACCAAGUCCCUUGGAACAGGGCGCCUUAGAGGGUGAGAGCCCCGUAGGUACCACAAUACCGUCUUGUGUCUCCUCUCCAAAGAGUCGAGUUGUUUGGGAAUGCAGCUCAAAGUGGGUGGUAAAUUCCAUCUAAAGCUAAAUACCGGCGAGAGACCGAUAGCGAACAAGUACAGUGAUGGAAAGAUGAAAAGCACUUUGAAAAGAGAGUGAAACAGUACGUGAAAUUGUUGAAAGGGAAGGGCUUGCAAGCAGACACGGCCUUCGUGCCGGGCCAGCAUCGGUUGCUAGGGGUGGAUAAGGAACAAGGAAUGUAGCUCCUCGGAGUAUUAUAGCCUUGCGCGAUACACCCACUGGCGACCGAGGCCUGCGGUAUCCUACCUAGGAUGCU
rnacentral:rRNA from 1 species